rnacentral:pre_miRNA from 1 species
UCUAAUCCUUGCUGUCUGGGUGCUAGUGCUGUCUCAAUGCAAUGCACCUGGGCAAGGAUUCAGAGAGGGAGAGCU